GCUUAAUUCAUUUUAUUCUCGAGUUUCGAGUGUUUGGGUUUUUUUUUUUUUUUAGUACAAAACAUUACCCCUUUUCUUGGGCAUCCCCCGUGUUUUUUGCCUCUGGCUUUUCUGUAGAACAAUACAAAUGUAUAUUAUUCUGUUAGAUGUAUUACUGGUAGCAUUUUUUUGCUACAGAAUACAGUUCUUAUUGCAAGCACUUGGACGUUUGUGGGAGAGGUCCUUUAUUCAUGCCUACCUGGAGAGCUAACGAGGGGACGCCUGGUAAGACAGAUAUACAUUACAAGCUUACACGAGAGUCUAUCAAGAAUGUAUUUUUUUUUU